rnacentral:rRNA from 1 species
ACUCCUGCGGGAGGCAGCAGUGGGGAAUUUUGGACAAUGGGCGCAAGCCUGAUCCAGCCAUGCCGCGUGCGGGAAGAAGGCCUUCGGGUUGUAAACCGCUUUUGUCAGGGAAGAAAAGGUUCUGGCUAAUACCUGGGACUCAUGACGGUACCUGAAGAAUAAGCACCGGCUAACUACGUGCCAGCAGCCGCGGUAAUACGUAGGGUGCAAGCGUUAAUCGGAAUUACGGGGCGUAAAGCGUGCGCAGGCGGUUAUGCAAGACAGAGGUGAAAUCCCCGGGCUCAACCUGGGAACUGCCUUUGUGACUGCAUGGCUAGAGUACGGUAGAGGGGGAUGGAAGUCCGCGUGUAGCAGUGAAAUGCGUAGAUAUGCGGAGGAACACCGAUGGCGAAGGCAAUCCCCUGGACCUGUACUGACGCUCAUGCACGAAAGCGUGGGGAGCAAACAGGAUUAGAAACCCGAGUAGUCCCAUGA